rnacentral:rRNA from 1 species
GUAGGGAAUCUUCCGCAAUGGACCGAAGUCUGACGGAGCACGCCGCGUGAACGAAGAAGGCCUUCGGGUCGUAAAGUUCUGUUGUUAGGGAAGAACAAGUACCAGAGUAACUGCUGGUACCUUGACGGUACCUAACCAGAAAGCCACGGCUAACUACGUGCCAGCAGCCGCGGUAAUACGUAGGUGGCAAGCGUUGUCCGGAAUUAUUGGGCGUAAAGCGCGCGCAGG